AUUUAAUUUCAUUAGAAAGAAAGACAGUUAACUUUGGGUUAGUUACUUUAUUGACAUAGAUUUUUUUUUUUUUUGACAUCUUGUGAAUAGUUGAGGCUGGUGUAGGAGAAAUGAAGUAUGUGAUGAGGAAGCCCACCACUCUGGCAAUGACUGUCAUUUCCUUUCACUGCCAGGUAGAACAUAUUGAAGCUCUUACCAGCAAGUAGUGAAAAAGGUCCGACUUUGUAGUGCUGAGUAUGCUAGUGAUGGGGUGUGGGGGAAGAUUUGUAUUGUAGAGGAACACUUCUUUCAUGCCCUUGCAAAUGGAACUAGGCUAUAAACUUAAUUCUGUCCAAGGUAAAGAGUGGCCUGGCUUUCCACCACUCACUGAUCUCGGCAUCAUCAGCGAGGGCAGGACACAUCAGGUGCUUUUUGUGACAGGGAAAGAAAAUGUGACUGUCAUGGUGGAGCUUUCUUUGUCAGCUGCGUCACACGGCCCGUAAAUAUCAUGCUUCUAAUAAACAAGGAGUUGCAGAUUUUUGUGAGACAAGUUUUAAAUUCUGUAGGGACAAUGAGAAUAAAUUGCAUGGAAACUACUUUGUGUAUGGGUCAGAACAAAACCUAAAAAGUGAGCGUUUGCAAAUCUAACUGUAAAUGGUUCAACAAAAGUUGUCAAGGAAGUAGGAGAGUGUGAAAAUGAGUGGCUGACGGUUACUGGAAAUGGAAUAGGUCUGAGCAGUGCUGUUGUGUAGCUCAGCCAUGGUAGUUAACAGGCAGUGUACGUGUCCCAGUACAGUGAGAGUAGAUGGGGGUGUCUCGAAGCUUGUGCAUGACUGCACACAUAAUUUGAGAACUAUCAGACCCUGGCCACCACGUCUAACCUGUGCUGCUGCAGAAGCUGAUGUAAAAUGGAAUGAAGAGCGGCAGAAGUGGAGUUGGGAGUUUCACUUAUUGAUGCCCUGGGCUUUUAGCAACUCUUUGCAUUAGUUUUGUAACCAGAUCCAAGAAACUGCUUCAGUGCCUACAUCCUAAUGCACACCCACAGGCGGCAGAGGAAAAGAGCAUGUCCUUCCAAGAAAGGGGAGUGGAGGAAGGGGGAAGAACUGCACUAGAUUACUGUGUCUGGAUAUUUACUGUAGUUUCUAAAUCCAUUAUCUGGGGCAACAGGGUGAAAGACAAGUGGAAAGCAGGUUCCCUCCCCAGUGUCUGUCUUGCUGGCACAGUUAUUUAUGAGGCACCCUGUACUAUCAGUGUAAGAUUUACUACUGAAAGCUGGGCUGAGAGUUACUGCUGACAAGAGGUCAGUUCCAGCACAGAUAAAGUACCACAGCAGCAUCUUUCAGAAACAGGCUCAAAGAGAGGGUUGCUUUGGUUUUUUUCUUGUCUCAGUAGUAUGCAUAUGCCUUAACAGUAAAAAGAAAUCUUUAUUAGGGUUUUCAAAAUCAGUUGGUGGAAAUGUCACUUGUGUUUCUGCUGCUAAAAAUGAGAGCUUCUCUAGAGGUAUGAGACUUAGAGUCUGAACACCUAUGCUUACCUUCCCCUCCCCUCUCCAAAGGAGACUAACCUUUCCAGAAAUAUCAUGCAGCAGUUGAAGACCAAUGGCUCAUUCAUUUUUUUUAGAGCUUGAUAAAACCAGCAUAAUUAAGAUGCUGUUGCGCCCUCCUCCAGGCUACCUGAAGGAUGUCCUGUUGCCUUAACAAGCUCCCCUUCCCUCCAAGCAGCCUGAAGGCGUCAGCCCUUUCUCCCAAAGUGCAGGUACACCUUUUAUGAAGGAUACGUCUGUGACAGCGUAUGCUGUUCUUUCCAAACCUAAUAGCAUGCUUGGGCAGGCAGUAUGCAGAGGGGAGGAGAAAAAGAGAGCAGUUCAAGAUGCUGUGGUACACAGCAUUCAACUGUUAAUAUGCACACAUGCAGAAAAAUAAACCAGUGCUUGUCACAAGCAUUUGCUGGUGUGUGUUGAGUAUACAUAGGGACACACAUGGGUGCAGAGACAAGUACUAUCAGGUAUAGUUGGCUUGGUCAAAGUGUUCUGGAGUUUUCAAUCAAUAAUAGUAGAAAAAGUACAAUAUUAGCAUUUUGGUUUUUUCCUCCUUUUUCAGACACUUUUUAGUAGUACUAUUCUGUAGCUUCUUUCAGAGGACCAUCUCAAAGCCUUUCACAGACUUCACACUGCUCUAUCCAUUCUACACAAGACAAAGGCAAAAAGGGAAGACAUCCCUGCCUCCUACGUGAAAGGGAACUUCUUCCCUAGCCUGAAACCUUUAAUCUGCAGGACCAAGGCAAGCCUGGAUGUCACUGACCUGGUUUUUCACAACCUCUGUCUUAUAAAUUAAGGCACUUCUGGGGCUUCCACGGUAAGCAAAAAAAGACCUCUCCGUGACCCUGUGUGCAUCGUAAUUUUUUCCCUCCAUUUUCAAAUGACUGAGUGAAACUCAUGGUUCAUCAGGCUCUGGUCUCCCCUGGAGAAAGUAUUCCCAUUCUACAUGCAGAAGAUCUGAGCUUGAUGCAUCAUCCUCACAGUCAAGGAAUGAGUCAGACCAAGGCCAGGUGCAGGACAGAGGGGUGUGACAGUACAAGUGGUGACCUGUAAGGGGAAUUGAAAUGAGUGAACUUCUAAGGUUUCAAAAAAAGCUUCCUCAGCCCGGAGGAGCGUGUAACUGCAUCUGUUUGUUGUGCAGUUUUGUUACUGUGUGGUGUUGCGUGGGUCAGGCAUGGACAAAUGUGCCCUAACUUGCAGUCUGAGCCACUCGGUAGUGUGUAAUGCUUUCUAUGUCGGCACUAGCACUGACCUAGGCUGAGUAAAGCUGGGGUAGAUGCUGCAUUGCUUAGUGAAGGUGAUGCUUGUGACUAGAAGAUAGCUCUAGAAAUGCUACUGCUAUUGUGGGCAGCAAAAACAUGUACUUCCCUCAUGAGUUUAAAGCAUAAUGGAGAUUUUUUUUUUUUUUUUUUUCAUGAUUAGGACCAGAAUAAAAACUCCAGAUCACAUUCCUGAGUUGAACCAAGCCCAUUCCUUUAGUCCUGCUAUUGUAGCCUUAUAAUUGCAGUAUAAAUAGUAAAGUUAAAAGCCAGGCACUCUGGGUCUGCAACCUUUGUGCUAUCUGCCCCCUUCCCACAAAACCAAAGGUAGGCUGGAUGCCGGACUGUGGCAUGCUGCGGGUACAAGCCUGUAGAGCCUUUUGUUCCAUUUAGCUCUGAGCAAUGGGACAGUCAGGCCUGCUUGACUUUUGACUCACUAAUUUCAAUUCCUAUUAAGGGUAAUCUGUCGGAGCACUUGUCUAACUGUGCUGAACUGUCAACAAGCUGCCUAUCAUUCUAACCCAUUUUUUAAAAUGGUCCAAUUGUUCGAGGGUUUGGGGGUUAGGGGAAGGCCAGGUUUUUGUUUGCUCAUUUAGCGUAGGGGGAAGCAGCUUUUCCAGAUAAUUUAGGGCAAACCAGGUGGUAGAUAGUGUCUGUGGUGGCUGAAAUUUGGCUUGUGACAAGGUCUGAGAAGUGUACCUGGGCCUUUUCUCUUUGCACAGUGGCCUCCCUGAGGGCACUCUUGCUGCUUUGAGGGAGUUUUACUCAUUCCCAGCAUGGGUUUGGUGCCAGCCAGGAUUCUGCUGAACAACGCUGCGCCACGGUUGGGCAGCCAGCGUUGGCAAACAGGAAUUGAUGGUUCGGAUGCAGCAAACCUGAUUGUGGGGGCAAGAUAGUUCGACACUAGCACAGACCCAGACACCCCGGGUGUUGUGAUGGGCCAUACCAGGCUUCAUUUUAUGGUUCUGCCAUCCUGAUCCACAUUUUCUGUGGUGGUUGGGUCUAACAAAGGAAGCUAAAAAAAAAAAAAAAGGUGCAAGAGACAUUUAAUUCCCAGAUUAUAGAUCUGUUGGAGAAAGUUGGAGAUAGUUUGUAACAGCCCAACAUCACUAUAAUAAUUAGGCUUUAUUCACAAGCCCUGUUUUUUUAAAAUCUGAGAACUUUGUUUCAGACCUUUAAGUAAAAUGUAACACUUCCGUGCUAUUUGCUAUUGCUUGCUCCAAAGUUAUUCUGAGCUGAAGGGAACAGUUUUAGCAUAGUGACCAUUCUAGGGCUACAGUUUCUAAUCUUGUGAUUCCCGUCUGCUCAGCUGAAAUUGCUUUGACUUGCCUGGAGUCACGCAGUUUUCUUCCACCUUUGCUUUCAUGAGAGUUACUAGGCAAAACCACAGCCUGUUUGGAGGGCAGAGGAACUACUGAACCACUGACUCCUAUGGAGGAUUUAGAUUUCACAAGGAACAGUGAGGUGAAACUGAGCAAACGUACACAGUGGGAAAAAAAGCAUUGCAUUUACAUGACUUAGGUCAUGGAAGAGCAAUAGGAAGGUGCAGCAAUGAAAACUCAUCAAAUUUAGCCAUACGCAGCUUGACUGAACAGCACACCGCAAAACUAACUACACUAACAAAAAUUAUCCACCAAAGUAGGUGAAACCAGAAAAGUCAUUUUCUGUUCCUAACUUCUGUACCUAAGCAUCACCUUAAAAUAUAAAGUGUUGAUUGCAGGUCUUGAAAGCACUCACAGGGAGAUUACUGUGAUUUGUAUAGUCAGUUUAGGAACAUGAUGUUCCCCCAGCGCUACCAUUGCAGCUACUUUAGUUAAUGUCAAGGGAAGUCAUAUUUUUCUUUGUGUUGCUCAAGAGACAAAAGAAUGUCCCGUGCCAGUGAAGAGCAUAAGGAAACAAAUACUGCCAGAUGUUCACUGAAGUAUAACCUGCCCUUAAACCGGACAUCUGAAAACACGCCUUCAGUGCCCUGCCACAUCUUAGCACUACCCACAGUAAAAGGACCUGGCAAAAAAGCUGGAGAAAAACAAACUCCUGGCUGACUCCCCCGAGCACGUGAGCUGUUGGGUUAGUACCUGCUCCCAGGAUUUCCAUCAGUCUCUCUAUCACUGAAACUUCACUGCGUGUUUGAGAGCCAUCAUCAAUGUUUAAGCAGCAUCUGAGCUGUAUAUCCAAAUACAAAAGCAGUGGCUGCUGCCGGGCACCUACUAUGCACCAUUUGCACUGGAUAGUGUUUGUGUGGGGAGCUGAAGAGAUGUGCUUAACUCAGAAAUAGCUCUUCCUUGGAAAGCUUAAAGUCUGAAUCACACUGUGUUGGCUCAGUUUUUAGCAGACAAGCUAUCACAUAUGCCUCCCUGUAGGCGAAGAGUCGUCACUGGCAUCAGGAUUAGCAGCCAGGUUCUUUCCCUUUGAAAACUAGAGAAUAAUGGUACUGAAGGCUCCGGCUGACUUUAAGCACGGUCAGGGCAGGAGGCUGCCCAGGGCUGGAGGCUUGGGGGGGUGAGCUGGCAACACUGUGAGCAGGAAGGGCCCACUCGUGUCCAUGCUUGGCCUGCACUGCCCCUGUGUUCCUCUCUCUUCAAAAGGAGUCAGAUAACAUGUCCCCACACUGAACUUUGUUAUUGCAAAGAUGGGGACAACGUAAGUUAUUUUGCUCAAGAUCCUUGAGGCAUUAACCACCCCACUGCUGCCUGUGAACCUGAGACUAGAGGCAGCCCUAAGAUAUCCAUGGUUGAGGUUGCCCUGCGUCAACUGAAAAUACUAGUGACAUGGACAAAUAGGAACACCAGAGAAAAAUGUGGAAACCUGGGAGGGGACGAGACAGCUAAUCAGCUGAGGUACCUGAAACUGAAAGCACGUGAGGGACAACACUAGUUUGACAGACACUGAUGAACUUAGAGCAGCUUGCGGAGUCCACCUGAUAACAACCACAACAACAGAAAUGCAAAUAUAUGCAGUUACUUUUUUCUUUUUUUUCUGGAACACAGUGUAAGUUGAUGCCUAGUCCUUAAAUACAUGCUGCUCCUGAUUCCCAGCAGUCCAGAAGUCUUGAGGGAAAAGGGGAUGAGAGAACUAGUGCAAAGUUUUUGUAGUUAGCUCAUGAAACAAAUUACAGGUACGGAUUUUAAAACGCUUCAGAGAUGCAGGAUUCUUGGACCUACAGUGUUGGACUCAGUGGCCCACUACUGCAGUAGCAUUAAUUUUCAAGCCUCACCUCCAGGUUCAGGACUCAAGCGCUGCCACAGUUGCAAGAAAUGUGGAUUGGGAGUUCCUGAACCAACUGGUUGCUGACAAUGAGUCAGGGGAAUGACCUUGCAGCAGGCAGCUCACGGCACCUCUCUCGGAGUCGUGCCAGUAUAAACGGCACUGGCAUCUCUGAACACUGUUGAAACCAUUUUGUGAGAUUCCCGCGUUGGCCUUUUCUACUGCUGCCUUUGCACCAAAACUUUUGGGUGGGUGCGAACAGAAGAGAGUACUCCCUUCUUGUUCCUUAACAAGGGCAUCUUCACAACCUAGGCUUGGGGACUAUCUAUACCUAUGUACAGAUCUGUAGAGGAUAUGGGCAACUCGUAUGUCUUGCCUACAUCUCUGUCCAUUAGCAUCAGCGACACAGAUACUUAAUCGACUUAAAUCUUAACCUCCCCCCCACAGCCACACCCAUAUUAAACUGUAAGAAAACACCACGGACAAGUUAUAGAAAAAAAUUCAUGGCAAUACUGAAUUUUCUGGAUAGAUCUGGAAGUGAUUUGUAAGAGGAGUGAGGGUAGAAUACUUGGCAUAUGGACAUUUUAAUGAAUUUUCCCAAAUAAAAAAAAAAAAACAAAACAUUUGCUCGUAGACUUUAAGCUUCUCACAGCAUCAGUAAAGCUCCUGACACAGAGCCCAACGCUGUAUUUGUAUAACAUGGAAAUUAACAGCAGCAGCAGCAGCAGCAGUGCUGCAGGCUUAGAGUCUACUCUGCGAGCAACAAAAUGGCUAGGGGUGCUGUCGUGUUCGUUCCAAUUCCCUCGCCGUCUGUGGGCAGUGAAGUAGGUGGAUGCUGAUAUCCCUGCCACUUCAGGUAUGGCUGCGAACUUCAACAUCAAUAUUAAAUUAAUGUUUCUAACCAUAUUCAAGCUUGUGCCCUCGUCAGCUCGACUCCGUAAAGCACAGACAGGAACCAACAGCAAAAUCGGACUGCGUCACAGAUGUAACAUGACCAUCGGCAAAACAAGUGCAGGAAGAGAUCAUGGCUGCCUCGUCAGCCCGAGAGCCUUCCUUCGAUACCAGAGAGGAAUACGAUGGUAAUGCUUUUAAAUUUAUGUUGUGAGCAUUUGCAGUCCUUAACUUCCUUUACCAAAUUUUGCAGUCCUUGAGCAGUCAAAACUCCCAAGAAAAUUGCAUGUAUUUUGCCAACAGACCCAACGCAUUAACAAACACUGCGUCAUAAUGCCGCACUAAGGCUGAGAGAUACGGUAAACCCCCACUUUACAAAGGAAGGAAACCAAAAUACAGAAAAAUGAAUCAGCUUACACAAUGUCACACACACAAGUGUCGGAGGGAGGAAGAAAUCACAGCUUUCCCAAGUCCUUUUGCGGCAAUACGCAGGAAACCAUCAUGGAACAGUCGGCCAUGUACAGCUAACGUACAGUAACGAUACCAGCCCUAUGCGCAAAAUCGCUGCCGUCCUGUCCUACAGAAAUAUGCCGUGUGCCCUUCUUAGCCUUGUUUCUUACCAGUCCCACAGAUUUACCUGCUGACAGUAACCUCAAUUCCUGAGUAAUGAGAUUUACAGCCCAAGUUUAACAUUGAAAUAACUCCUCUUUUAUCUCUGUCUCCUUACCCUCCCUGCAUCUAGUCACAAUUAAACUAUCACCGUGGCAAAAAGAGUAACGAAAGGGAUAAAAACAAAUGCAUCCCUCCGCUGAACAUGGAAACUCGAAAAGUACGUAUAUGCCUGGGCAAGUAUAGGGGUUGCCAGUUGCACCUCCUUUCAAAGGACUGAGAAAUGCCAUUAAGAACCACUAGCUUUACACAUUAACGAGGCCCUCUGCCCCGCAAUGGUGAUGGGGAAAAAUGGGCAGGGUUGUCCGUGCAGACAGCACUCGGUAAAACAGACUCAACCCACCCGUCUUCCAUGCAAGCCAGCAUCAUUUCUCAGUCCAGCUCCUGGCUGCACAGAAUAACCCCCGCGGCUGCCUGUGCUGUUCCCGUAUGUGUGUGUGUUUAUGCCUGUCUGUCUUGCUGCAGGGACCACCGUCGUUGCUGCUAUUCCUGUUGUUCCCCUGCUCUGCGGAACUGGCGCUGCAGGAGGCAAGGAUGCUCCAAGGGAGCCAGCUACAGCCAGCGAAGGCUCAGUGAGUCAGGAGGGGUUGUGAUGACUGCAGUCAGAGUCUGAAAUUCCCUGUGGAAUCCGGCAGAAGAGGAGGGGAGGCAAGAAAGGUGGAGAUGGGAAAGAGGAAAAAAAAAGUGGGGAGUGGCACCUACUGUCUGUUUUCUUCUUCCCUCCCGGCUCCUACCACCGCGCUGCCGUGGGAGACGGCAUCCUCCCCUCUACGGUGCUGCGCAAAAGAAUGGCGGCGGGGAUAAAACCGCAGCGCGUGCGGCCUUCGGAACCGAACCGCCAAAAUUCGGUCGGGGCGGGCGUACCUGUGUAAAUACAGCCCUUCUCUCUCUCCCUCUCCCUCAGGCUGCCGGUCGGAGGACAGGCUGCUGCUGAAGUAAUGGGGACGGCGGCCGCGGAACGUCUGAGCCCGUUGUGAACCCAGCGGUUGUUGCUAAACAACCGGACCUGACGCUUGAGAUGUCAACGAGACCGUCCCUUGCAUUAACUCCGGUGCCGUCGGCCAACUUCAGCACCAGGCAGGGGAAGCAGUGCUCUCCCGUCUUGUAGCCUCAAAACCGGGAAAUGUGGAGGAGGAUCGGUGGUAGAUACAGCAUCUGGGAAUCAAAGGGAAGCUAAUGGAGAGCCAGCACUGUAUGGAGGAGUUCAUGCGUCAGUCUGCAUAUACAAAAGAGCAAGUGAGAGAGCCAGCAGUCCAUUUGAAAAGCACAGAAUCAAGGGAUUCACUACUACACAGCUACAUCUGCCAUUUUAAUUCCGGACUUCAGAGCUGGCUGCGAGCUUUGGGUUUUUCACUACAACCAAAGCUGAAGUAACCACUAUUUUUUCUCUUCGCAGCGUCUGAAGAGCCUGAGCUAUUUUGGGAUUUGUCUGUACUACACUGAAAAUGACACCUGUUACGCACAGACACAAAUGAGAGGAAUUGCAAGCUCCCGGUUUCUCAGAUACGAUUCUGCAAAAAAAGGACAAGAUCCUAUGAGCUGGGGACCGGGGAGAGCAGCACAGGCUCUCGGUGUGGGGUUAAGGGGAUGACCCUUGUGAAUUGAACAGUCAGUCAGCGGAACAAAAAAUGUAAAAGGUCUCUUGCAGCUGAUGCAAGGGGAAAUCAAACCUCCAUGUGACCAGAAGUAGUGCUUGAUCAACUAAAUGCCACAACACAGGGUUUCUUAUGCAAUCAAACCCAUGGGACUUCAAGCCUUACAUACACGUUUUGUGGCCAGACCUGCAAGCAUUAACUACUUCAGUUAAUGAAGGUAAAAUUGUAAGAGCGUUACGGCUACUUAAAUGAGUCACCCAGCGGUGACACUCGCUAAAGUAGGCCAGUGUUUUAUGCGACGUUAAGCCGCCUGUGCUGUUCAGUAACCCCUGAGUUAUCUCAGAAGCUCCCCCAGCGUGCGGGGUCAGGGCGGAUUUUCCGCAUUCCCCGCUUUCCCCGCCGGCGUGCGGCUGAUUUACAAGGCGCCAGCGCCGCGCGGGCGAGGCGGGGGCCAUCUCGCUGGGCCCGCGAGACCCGGCGAAGCUCUGCACGUGAGAGCGUACGGCGCUGGAACGAGAGAAGGGACUCUGGUCCUCAGAGAUGGGACAGCUGACCGGUGCUUUUAGCUUACAGCGCUCUUGUCAGUCUCGUGUUAUGCUAAGGAAGUAAAAUGGAGCUUUGAUCUAUUUCAAAUUGUAUCUUUUUGGUUGCUUUCAGGGGAGAGGCGGCAUUUAUUUUCUGGUUUACUUUCGUUUGGAAAUGACCUGCCUUGGAACAUUUCUACCUGUACCUGACUGUAAGUAUUUACUUUGUGGUGGCACUCAGGCUCCCGAGAAGACUCGGCCGCACUGCACUGGGAAACACUCAAGUGCGUAACUAAGAAAAUGUGGCACAAUGAAAAGCUUCAGCAAGCAGAACUGAAUAAUGAGGCCCCAAAAAAUAAAGUCAUCUUCUCACACUGUUGAGUCAGUUAAAUGUUGGGCAGGCUUUGGCAUUUUCUGUGAGCUGAAGUAAAGAAAUAGAGGCUGUGAUUCCAUGGUAGAAAUCCAGGCUGCUUUCUGAAGCCCAUGUACAUGUUUUGCUACUGGCUUGGGGGUUUAUUGCUAUUUUUCUUUUCCUCCAAACUGUCUAAAAGCAGGAGACGGAACUUCGGUUUUGUAAGAACUGACUAUGAGGAAGCAAAGUCCUGGGCUAGAAAGCAAGCUUGGAAAAUGGAAAUAAAGCAAGCUUGGAAAAUGGAAAUAAUCCACAGCCGUGGUCAGAGGCAGGAGAGAUCAGUCUCACCACAUGAAUGGAAGUGUGAGGAUCCAUUCCAAAGGGAGGGGUGACCUCAUGGCUAGCUGCAACUGUGCCAUGGGUUCUUACAGUGUUGAUUAAAAAAAAAAAAAAAAAGUUUUGAUAGUGCUAGACAAUGCAGUAAGAUCUCAUGACUCACAACUGAAACAGUUCAAACUGGAUGUUGGGGGAAAAAGAAAAAAUUCUUCAGGAGGGUGAGAGGGAUUGAACCCCCAGCCCUCACUACCAAGCCUGCCGGCAGUUGGCGGUUUCCCUCAGCGCCAUGGAAGGAUCAGGGAGAGAAUCCUCGGCGAGCAGGGGAAGCGUGGGCUGGCCACUGCUUACGUGCCAAACUGUACGUGAAGGUGCAUCCUCAGUUCUCCGGCAUCUCCCGCGCUAUUUUCUGCUGUCGUGCUACGAUGACCUUAAGAGCAAUAACGUAUGAAGUCCGAUGUUACAAAAUCCAACCCUCGUGCACGUCAUUAUUGGUGUUGUGGGUGAUAAAAUAACCUCGGCCAUCCACUGAGGAAGGUCCUUGGUCUUUUUAAUGACGAGCGAAACCCUCGUGGCACUACCCACCCUUUCAGCUUCCUGCUGGUGAAGCCUUGGCUCAGGUUUCGGUUUAAAUGCCAUCGGCCACACCUUCCUCCGACUGCAGGAAGCUGCGAUUGUUAAAAUCAGGGCAUGUUCCUGUUUAACUAAAAGGCUGAGAUCAAAUAAUCCAAAGGCCUCGACUCUGCCAAACAAAUUCCUGCCCAGGACCUAGCAAGUCUGUGCAGCUGUAAAUCUAUAACCCCUCGACCUCAAUAUCCAUGUAAAUGACGUCUGGGCCCGUCACCUCGGGGAGCGGUUGGCAAUAAACGGAAGGAGCAAAGACUCGGGCAAAGGCGGACGGGGAGAUCUGAAAGUUAACAAUAAUAAUGCUUAGCACAAUGUUCUUCAGUUUACCAACCGAAAGUCCCGAAAGUUGCUUUAAAAUGCAAAAUAGUACGUUUUGCAAAUGCUGAUGUGGGACAGCUCUUUUGCAAAAUGUGAAAUUUGUCGGUGCUACCUCUUCCUCACAAAAUGCUCACAACCUCAGCAAAAUUACGGUUUCCAACAAAAAUGUAUUUCAGCACAGAAUUCCCAGGCAGCUUCAUUCAAGGAAACGGUAACAUGAUAGCCCAUCUGCCAGGACUGCUUCCCCUCACCCCCAUCAAUCAGGGGGUGGUUAAUUUUAAAACUAUUCUUUUAAUCUGAGCGUUAUAAUAGAAAAUCAUCCUUAAAAAAAAAAAAAAACUUAUUUAACUCUUUACUAUAGUAAAACAAUUGUCUACAAUGACCACAAAUAAAGAAGUAAUGUUAGUUGUUAUGAAAACUAUGAAGUUUUUAAUGUUUGCUUAUUUUAAAUUAAUAUAAUUUUGCAUAUGGGAAGGCUGAAUUAAAUAAAGAUUAAAUAAUUUGACCCACAUUUUAUGCAGAAUCAGGGUCAAAGCUGAUAUGGAAAUUUGGGAGUUCCUUGCUCCCAGAUUUUACUCAAGUUGUGCCUCUUGCUUAAUUAUAGUCCUUAUUGCACAGAAGGCCCCCAGUGAACUAGUGAGACGUAACCAUCAUCUGAAACAGAAGCUGCCGGAACAGAGUGGCUUUUAGAGGAAAUAAUUGAUAGGCAGUGAUUUGAGGAGGCAUUUCUUUCAUUUUUCAAAAAGAAAAGCAGAAAUAAGACUUUGAAGUCUUCCUUCUGUUUUCACAUGUAUGUGGACAACAACAGACAAGUCACGGUCUUACAACUCGAUCCCCACAGUCCCCAACAGGCAGAUUUCCAGGAAACUGGAGACUUGCAACUCCAAAACAGGAAUAUUUCUAACUCAGCUACCAGAGUCCCUGAAGGGAUAUUCUACACAGUGUACUGUGCAUCAGGUUUUGGGCCACUGUGACAACCGUAGAAAAGUUACAGAGUCACAACAAACAUUUAGGCUUCUUUUUUUUUUUUUUCUGAAAGGUUUAUUGUUUUCCAGACAAGCUUCAUUAGUGAAUGCCAGAGAAAUGGCCAGCACUUGCUAUUCUUUGCCAGCCCAGUGCGUACACACGCUGUUCUUCUCUCUAGGGUUCCAACCAAGAGGAGGAAGAGCGGGCAGGCAUAGAAAUAACAAUAAAACCCCUUCUGAAACA